ACACGUGCGGUGGAGGAAGAGGAGUGUCACUUCUGCAUGAGCAUCAGGGCCACUUGGUGUGCCAGCCAAACGUUGCUCCGCUGGAGAGUCCCAGUCUGAACCAAAAUUCCACUCCAGAAGGCAGCCAGUCACCAGCCUGCGGGGCCCAGGCAGGAUCCCACAUGCCGUGGGACCCACUUGCUCGCAGGGGAGAAGAUCUAUCACCUCAAAGGAAUUCUCUGCACCACUUACUGCUAGAAAGGCUACUGACAUUCACAAACCACUAAACUAAAAUUUCAUUUCUGGAGCCAAAACUCUGGCCUCUGUCAAGCUCUGCGUCAGAGGAAAAGAAGGAUGACACGGGGGUCCUGGGGCCUUUGGAAGUCAGCAGAGCCCAAGAAACAGUCUCGCCUCUACAGAGUUCAACUGCAGGAACAGUUGGAGAAGCUGCAUCGUUUGGUUACCCCUCGCGUAGGAUUUCAGACCUCACUGAAACGCUUCUAGCAUGACAAUAGCCUCAGGGCCGAGAAAACCCAGAGGCUUUUAAACCCGGCGUAUUACUAAACUGUACGGUGACAAGGUCAGUGACCGGAUCAUUUCUCAGUCUGUUUAGUCUUCCUGCAGUCUGACCUUGGCCUUCUGGGCAGCUGAGAGCCAGACACACAAACGCCUCUUUAGGCCCUAGGCUGCACAGUGUUCUAGAAGCAGUCAUAACCUCCCAAAUCUACUUGAUCCCUUGAUCCCUGCCCCUUGCAGGGCAGGGCCCCCGCACAGAAUGCAGGCCUUCACUUUUAUUCCAGAGCAAGAACCCAAGUCCGGUGACCGCUGCUCCGCGCUCCGAUCCGCUCAACACUGAGGUGCCUGCUUUCAGAGGAAAUGGUCUCUGGCCUAGCUGGAGUUCACUGAUAUGUAAGUGAUGAAAUCCAAAGUACAUUUGGUAUUUGGACAAAUGUCAAAUGUUUUCCCUA